CUUUGACGCAAUGUUCCUAUUAUAUUUAUACUUUCGGUUUGAAAGGAAGUUAUGAUUAAACGGAUUUAAAUGUGACUAACUGUAACGGGAGCUAUAUAGUGCAUCACGGUCAAUACAGGCAAGGGUGAUUUCGAAUUGAUCUUUAAAGGGAAAAAUGGGUCAGGCUGAGAGCAGAAACACAGAUGCUCCUUUGACGGAUUUGAGGUCCUUUGAGAACAGAUCGGCCGCAUUCUCAGGUGUGAUGGCAGAUGUUCCUCUAACCGUGGUCGUGGAGGUCUUGCUGAACCUGCCUGCUCAUCAUGUAGUUAACGAAUGUCGUCGGGUGUGUCAUGAAUGGAAAGAGCUGGUGGACAGUGCUGCACACUGGAGUGAGCGUUGUCAGAGAGAGGGGAUUCAGCCCUGUGAUGCUUCCAGACCCCCAGUGGACUGGUGCCAGUUUUACUUUAUAACGAAGAAACGACAUAACCUGAUCAAUAAUCCAGUAGCUGUUGGUGAGUCACUAUUGAUAAUAGGUAAUGUUUUAUAAAGCAGUGCCACUGCUCUAAAAGAUAUUCGUUCAAGGGCACUAAAUGUAUCUUUUUCUAGAUGUACACAGUGUAUGAGACUGCUGUCACUUUAAGACCUUAUGCACAGAUAUUGUCUCCCAAUUAUCUAAUUAAACUGUACAUAUAACUGACUGUUACAUGAAUACACAUCAAGAUGGGCAUUCCUAGACGGAGAGAGUAUCAGCAAUAGGCUAUCUGAGAACUGAGGUGUGUUUCUACGUAAUUGCUUAUGGUGUAUGUCAAAGAAAACAUGUCAGUUUUUUAAAUUCAGUUAUCUUUUGCAGUUGAUUGUGAUUUCAGUCACUCAUCAAGCACAUCACACAACUCACAAAUAAAGCAUUGAGAUAACACAAAUACAGAACUUCACACGUACAAAAACAGAUAGCUAAACCUAAUAUCCUUUUUUAACCAUAUUACUUUUAUUUACUGAAUUUAAAGCUGCCUACGAAAUUUCACGUCUUAUCUAGCCAGGGCCCACUGGAUACCUGACAUCACUCUAGAUAUGGAUAGACCACCAGUGGAAUCAACAGCUUCUAAAAUCCCCCUUUUCAUCCGACAGUUACAGAAGAAAAUCCCUCAAAAAGAGAAACCCUGUUAAUUUCACAAGAAUGUAACUGAACGGCGCUAGCUGCAUUUAAUCUUUACCUCAGUUAAAACUGAAGUUAAAAAUUAAGUUGAAAUAAUGAUUGAUGGUUUGUUCAAGUCUAAGA